rnacentral:rRNA from 1 species
AUCUAGGCUCUUGCAUCGAUGAAGAACGUAGCGAAAUGCGAUACUUGGUGUGAAUUGCAGAAUCCCGUGAACCAUCGAGUCUUUGAACGCAAGUUGCGCCCGAUGCCAUUAGGUUGAGGGCACGUCUGCCUGGGUGUCACAUAUAGAAGCCAAUU